rnacentral:rRNA from 1 species
ACCCCCCGGCGCCCGCUCCCUUGGGGGGGGGCGCAGUAGGGAAUCUUCCACAAUGGACGCAAGUCUGAUGGAGCAACGCCGCGUGAGUGAAGAAGGUUUUCGGAUCGUAAAGCUCUGUUGUUGGUGAAGAAGGAUAGAGGCAGUAACUGGUCUUUAUUUGACGGUAAUCAACCAGAAAGUCACGGCUAACUACGUGCCAGCAGCCGCGGUAAUACGUAGGUGGCAAGCGUUGUCCGGAUUUAUUGGGCGUAAAGCGAGCGCAGGCGGAAUGAUAAGUCUGAUGUGAAAGCCCACGGCUCAACCGUGGAACUGCAUCGGAAACUGUCAUUCUUGAGUGCAGAAGAGGAGAGUGGAAUUCCAUGUGUAGCGGUGGAAUGCGUAGAUAUAUGGAAGAACACCAGUGGCGAAGGCGGCUCUCUGGUCUGCAACUGACGCUGAGGCUCGAAAGCAUGGGUAGCGAACAGGAUUAGAUACCCUGGUAGUCCAUGCCGUAAACGAUGAGCGCUAGGUGUUGGGGACUUUCCGGUCCUCAGUGCCGCAGCAAACGCAUAAGCGCUCCCGCCUGGGAGUCGCCG